UACGUAGGCAGCGAGCGUUGUUCGGAGUUACUGGGCGUAAAGAGCUUGUAGGCGGUUUGUCGCGUCUGCUGUGAAAUUUCGGGGCUCAACCCCGAACUUGCAGUGGGUACGGGCAGACUAGAGUGCGGUAGGGGAGACUGGAAUUCCUGGUGUAGCGGUGAAAUGCGCAGAUAUCAGGAGGAACACCGGUGGCGAAGGCGGUUCUCUGGGCAUGUCCUGACGCUGGAGGAGCGAAACUGUGGGGAGCGAACAGG
rnacentral:rRNA from 1 species